UAGCAAUAUUCCGGUUAGUGGCGCAAGGGACAGUAACGUGUAGAUACCUACCCUCGGGUUCGGGAUAGCCGCGGGAAACUGCGGGUAAUACCGAAUGACAUCUCCGGAUCAAAGGUGUGAUUCCGCCCGUGGAGGGGUCUGCAUCCUAUUAGCUAGUUGGUAAGGUAACGGCUUACCAAGGCAUCGAUGGGUAGCAGGUGUGAGAGCACGACCUGCGUCAUUGGGACUGAGACACUGCCCAGACACCUACGGGUGGCUGCAGUCGAGAAUCUUCGGCAAUGGGCGCAAGCCUGACCGAGCGACGCCGCGUGCGGGAUGAAGGCCUUCGGGUUGUAAACCGCUGUCAGCGGGGAGGAAAUGCCGGCGGGUUCUCCCGUCGGUUUGACCUAUCCUCAGAGGAAGUACGGGCUAAGUUCGUGCCAGCAGCCGCGGUAAGACGAACCGUACGAACGUUAUUCGGAAUCACUGGGCUUAAAGGGUGCGUAGGCGGCGCGGAAAGUUGGGUGUGAAAGCCCUCGGCUUAACCGAGGAAUGGCGCCCAAAACUGCCGUGCUCGAGGGAGAUAGAGGUGAGCGGAACUUAGGGUGGAGCGGUGAAAUGCGUUGAUAACCUAAGGAACACCGGUGGCGAAAGCGGCUCACUGGGUUUCUUCUGACGCUGAGGCACGAAAGCUAGGGUAGCGAACGGGAUUAGAUACC
rnacentral:rRNA from 1 species